rnacentral:rRNA from 1 species
GACGAACGCUUGCGGCGUGCCUAAGAAAUGCAAGUCGAGCGGAGAAGUAGCAAUACUUCUUAGCGGCGAACGGUCGCGUAACACGUGGGCAACCUGCCCUCAGCUCUGGGAUAACUCCAAGAAAUUGGUGCUAAUACCGGAUGUGACCGCUGACCGCAUGGUCUGGUGGUGGAAAGAUUCAUCGGCUGAGGAUGGGCCCGCGGCCUAUCAGCUUGUUGGUGGGGNGAUGGCCUACCAAGGCGACGACGGGUAGCCGGCCUGAGAGGGUGACCGGCCACACUGGGACUGAGACACGGCCCAGACUCCUACGGGAGGCAGCAGUGGGGAAUAUUGCGCAAUGGGCGGAAGCCUGACGCAGCGACGCCGCGUGAGGGAUGACGGCCU